UUUCCGUAGGUGAACCUGCGGAAGGAUCAUUAUUGUAUAACCGAGGUACGAGGGCUGUCGCUGACCCGAAAGGGCGCGCACGCCCGACUGCCCUCACACACAUCCAUCUCACCCCUAUGUGCACCACCGCGCGGGUCCCCCUUUGGCUCGUUCGGAGGGGGGCUUACGUGUUCACACAAACUUUGUAUGCAGUGUAGAAUGUAUUUUUUGUUUUUGCGAUCACGCAAUCAAUACAACUCUCAACAACGGAUCUCUUGGCUCUC
rnacentral:misc_RNA from 1 species